UCCACCCCCCGUACACUGUUGCUUGUGCUACAAACGUGUAAUAACCUAAUCCGCUGGCUCUAAUUUGAAUGUGCUGCAGACAGACUUUGGGUGGAAGCCACGUCUGGCGCACAACUUUAAUUUGACAAUUCGUCAGGGCUCAAUCGGUUCGGAAAAGCCUCGACAAGUGAGUUCAGGGCUGUUGGAAGGAGGAAUGUUUUACAGCGCAACUUGUCCAACUGUUGACGCGGCCCCGGAGCGUCGGGGGGACGAGGGAUGGGGGGGGGGACGGGGGCUGGAGACGUUUGUGCAAGCUGCUGCUGGGAAACGUUCCCAAACGUGAAGCUGCGCAUUCACGACGCGAGGUUCUGAUGAGCUCCCGCUGUAAAAACGCGCUCUGCAUGACGUGGUUAAAGCGCUUUUGCAUUGAGCUUUUGUGCGUCGGAGCAGAAGCAUCGGUGCCAGUGACAGGAACGGGAAUAACGAGUAGCGAGGCUGCGGCGCCGACUCCUGGAUCGUUAGAUUGGGAGUCGGACGCGGCCGAUCUCCGGGGCGACGCCUCGUCUUUUCACCGCCGCAUCCUCGUGCCGGCGUUUUGUUCUCGUGCCCUUUGAGCCGCUCGCCUCCGCCCUGCGUCGCCCCCCCUGCUGACAUCACUAAUGGCCGCGUCAGGGUGCGUCACUGGCUGACGAUGGGACGAUGGCUGUCAGUUCACUGUGAUGGAAGAACGUGUCUCUCAUCAUAUAGUUCAUCAUAUGUUGCAUGCAUAGGCUCAUAUGUUGGUCGUGUAUCAGUUAUAUGUAUGGGACAUGUUUAUGGUUGGUUCAGCCCGGCCCUCCCUGGUUCCGGCUCCUUUCUGACUCUCUCUCAUCAGCUUCUUUACUGGGAAUUUCCACAACGCCGUCAGCGACAGCGACAACUCACCUCAAGAGAAGGGCUGAAAAAGGAACGGCCUCGUUAGAACGCGUGUCAGUGGGACGCGACGGGGGAAACGCAGCAGAGCGUGCGUGAGCACGCACAAAUUCGCAGUAAAAGGAAACACCUGAUUCACGGCUUUAUGGAACCAGAGUCUCCCUCUCUUCCGCUUCGUCUGUGUCGUCUGUUCUCGAUCCUCCGCCAGACAUUCAGACCCGACUGGUUACAGCUGCCACUCUGAUAGAAUCUAACACCACACGCUGUGGAUGAGUCCAGGCCUCCCAUGGGUUCAUGUCCAACCGAGGACGGGUGAUUUACCUCAGAGUCAUCCUGUAGUUUUAUUCUUACAGUCCACAUCAGACCUAAAGUUGUUGAGACUUAUAUGUAAUUGUGUCUACAUUUCUAGACUUUGCUGAACCUGCUGUUUCUGCAUCCGGCCCUGCUUUCGCUUUGCUUCCAUCUCACCUUGUUCCAUGUCAAGGUCUAAUCUUCACUAAUUUGAAGGCUUGUUUUUAGUCAAUACUAAAGUCAGUUCGAAUCAUUGUAAAUGCAUUUUGAAUUGCUGUGUUGAUCAAAGAGACAAUUUUGCAGAUCUGAGUGUACAAACCCAUAAUUUAUGGUUUGAAGUGCGGAGGCUGUCAGGCUGUCAG